UGAGAGAUCCUCUUUCAAUUGUGUUACCC
rnacentral:piRNA from 1 species